rnacentral:ncRNA from 2 species
AAUCCAUCCCGAGCGGCCGAGAGACCUGGCUCCGCGACGCCGCAGCAACCACCCGACGGGCAGGUGCUAACGCCAGGACCGAUGGAGU